rnacentral:rRNA from 1 species
AAUUCGAUUUUGGAGGGCAAGUCUGGUGCCAGCAGCCGCGGUAAUUCCAGCUCCAAUAGCGUAUAUUAAAGUUGUUGCAGUUAAAAAGCUCGUAGUUGAAUUUCGGGAUCAGUACGCUGGUCGUGCCUUCGGUAUGCACUGGUGUCACUGGUUCCUACCUUCUGAAGAACCGUCAUGCCAUUCAGUUGGUGUGGCGGGGAAUCAGGACUGUUACUUUGAAAAAAUUAGAGUGUUUAAAGCAGGCUCGCGCUUGAAUACAUUAGCAUGGGAUAAUAGAAUAGGACUGUUGGUUCUGUUUUGUUGGUUUCCAGGGCCAGAGUAAUGAUUAAUAGGGACAGUUGGGGGCAUUCGUAUUUACUUGCUAGAGGUGAAAUUCUUGGAUUUAGUAAAGACGAACUAAUGCGAAAGCAUCUGCCAGGGAUGUUUUCAUUAAUCAAGAACGAAAGUUAGGGGAUCGAAGACGAUUAGAUACCGUCGUAGUCUUAACCAUAAACGAUGCCGUCCAGGGAUCGGAUGUAGCUCUUUAAAUGGCUCAUUCGGCGCCUUACGGGAAACAAUCACUAGUG